rnacentral:rRNA from 1 species
GACGAACGCUGGCGGCGUGCUUAACACAUGCAAGUCGAACGGAAAGGCCCUGCUUUUUUUGGUUGCUCGAGUGGCGAACGGGUGAGUAACACGUGAGUAACCUUCCCUUGACUUUGGGAUAACUUCAGGAAACUGGUGCUAAUACCGGAUAGGAGCUCCUGCUGCAUGGGGGGGGUUGGAAAGUUUCGGCGGUGGGGGAUGGACUCGCGGCUUAUCAGCUUGUUGGUGGGGUAGUGGCUUACCAAGGCUUUGACGGGUAGCCGGCCUGAGAGGGUGACCGGCAACAUUGGGACUGAGAUACGGCCCAGACUCCUACGGGAGGCAGCAGUGGGGAAUAUUGCAAAAUGGGCGGAAGCCUGAUGCAGCAACGCCGCGUGCGGGAUGACGGCCUUCGGGUUGUAAACCGCUUUCGCCUGUGACGAAGAGUGAGUGACGGUAAUGGGUAAAGAAGCACCGGCUAACUACGUG